AAAAGUAAAUCUGGAAGGAUAUCAAUAAAAUUUGAUUUUUUUAAUAAAUACUUCUGUCCAUGCCUGUCUCCUUAGAAAAGCAACUAUGCAUUUUUCUCUAAAAAUAAAUAAGAGAAAGGAAAAGAAAAUCACAUAAAAGGCUUAGCUUUAGAAUAAAUUUACUCUGUGUGACUCUUAUGUCCUUGCAGACUGUUGUUUUCUUCCAAAAUGAGGCUUGUUUGUUCAAUAAAGGGACUUCCUAUGAAUAGCACAUCUCUCUCACAUGAACAAUGAGCACUGACUACUGCAUCCCGGUAAUCUUCUCCACAAUCCAACCCUGUUGUACACAAUAAUGGUUCUUCCUAGGAUGGGUGAUCUGCCAUUGAAUGUUCGAUGACUGACUUGCAUCCUGCUACUUUUGGUUGAGCAGAAAGCGCAGUAAGGUCUGCUGACUCAUCACCACAUCUGGCUGACAUGUUGUGGUGUUUCUAUAGGUGGUUGUUUUGCUUGUUUUGGUUGUCUGACUUGUCUGAAGAUCAUCUGACUGCACUUGCUUGUGCAGCCUGUGCUGUACUUUUGCUUUAACUCCUUCUAUAAAGCCAAAUUUACAAAUGUAUACCAUCUGUUCUAAAAAAAUAACUUUAUGAAAAUGUAUUCAGCUACAUAAAAAUUAAAAUGAAAAACAAUUAAGUUCACAGACCCCAUUGAACCUCCAUAUUAUCCACAUUAUAUAAAACACAUUUGAAAAAGAUUACUGCUGUGUUUAAAGUUUUAGAUUGGAUAAAUGUUAAAUAAAGUUUAUUUAUUUAACAUUUAACAUUUUUGCUUUUAGUAUGAUUCAUGGUAAACUGUGAUUUUACUUUCUUAUCUUGUUUUCAUAACCGUUGUUUUUUCUCUGCACAUGUUUGAGAAACCCUACAGUAGACUUAAUAGUAUUUUCAGAGAAUCAUUUCUGUCCAAUUAUCUGCAGCCAGAUUGCGCUUGAUUCUAUUCUUAUGCAUUAUUUUAUUACUCAGCAUUUAAUUUAACGAAGUGGAGUUUUGUUUAGUUUAUUCAGCACUGAAACAUACCACCUACACAGGAACAUUUUAUAUAUAUAAAAAAAGUGGAUUUGUGAAAUGAAGGCAUUUAAAACUUGGCAGUGUCCCACAAAUAAAGUGAUUGUAACUUUAUAAAUUUAACUCUACGGUUAUAAAGUGUAUUUCCUAAACUAGGCUCCUUUUACUUUAAAUUCAGGAAAUUGUAUGAACAAAUGUUUAAUCUAAUUUUAUCUAAAGAACAAUUUCAUCAUGAUGAUACAGUUAAUCCUUUUACAAUGCAGGUGUAGCAUCUUCAGAGUAUAUACAGUCAUGUCCUUCGUGGCUAAACAGGUACAAAUACAUGUAUUUCAUAAAUGAGGAGAAUUUUAAGAGUGGCGAGAUUGUAGUACAAGUUUCUAGAAUAAGCUGAAAUAGCUCCAAAACAGGGUUCACUAGUUUUGAGUUGCUGUAUUGCCAACAUCACUGGAUGGCAUUUCAGGGUAUAAAACUCAAAGUGAGUUCAAGGUUAAAGCAGGUCAACCACUGGGAAAGAUAACCUUCACUGCACUGAGGGGUUUUGUUUGUUGCUUCAUUCUGUACUCGCGGCAGAAUUAAACACUGUGACCCACAGCAUUUAAAGACUUCCACUCUUCAACACGGCUGUCUUUUCUUUAAUCAUCUGACGGAUUUUCUCUUUGGUAACAGCAGACAGCAUCAACAACCAAUCCCUGAAAAAUACCCGUCAAUCAGAACAGAUAUAUAUCAGCAAGUGCAGACUGUCAGUCUUGGCCUUAUCAGGCUAAAUGCAGCUGUGAAUAUUUUAUACUCAAAACUGAGCACUAAUAUGAAGAAACAGAAAAAUGUAAUGAUGAAGUGUGCCAUGAAAAACUCAUAUGGCAAAAAAUCCUUUGCAACCUUUACAGAAAGUAAACCUAAAAGUUCACCGCUUGACAGAUGUGUGAUAUGAGAUGUCAGUUCAUAUUCUCCCUUUGAUUGAUGAAAAAAUGGCACAACGGUAUAAGGGAAUAAAAAUAAUUUCUACAAGGAGAAAAAAUAAGCUCAAGCCACAAAGUAUCACAAAAUGCUGUUUAAGAUGAAAAACCUCUAUACUGAAGUGUAAAAUAAUCUGCAGAAACAUAAACACAACAAAUAUAUCUACAAAACAACUACAGUUGCUCUAUUAUUUCCUUUCCCAAGAAAGGAAAUAGACUGAGUGUCACAAAAAGGGGGAUGGUGGUAACAAAGGACAUCCAUGCAGGUAAAAUGAGGCAGAGGUUCAACAACUGUCAGGAUCUUGGGUUGUUUGAGUUGGUUUUGGGUCUGUUUUACUUACUUUAGUUCAGCCCUUUCUUAAUGACUCACCCUCACAGUAUUAAACCCUGCUCCCUUGUUCACACUCCUUCCUGGUUCCUCCUGUUAAAUUCCGUCAUAUCCGUUUCUUCCCCGAUGAGACUCUGCUUGCUUUUUGUUCCUGGUUCCUCUUUUUGUUCUCCUCUGGCUCCCUGCAUUCCCCAUUCAACAUGAACCAUGCUAUCAGCUCCUAUCUGCAUUUUGGGUCUACCAACAAACACUUCAUGGCAAAAAAUAAAAAUAAAAACUAAACCAGGAAGCUACACAGACAUCUCUAAAUACAAAAAAUGUAACUACCAUCUACACAAUCAAUACAUAACAUAAAGGGAAACUAUAGUUCUCUGACCAUACGUUACUGGUUACAGAAUGCCACAUAAAAUAUGGACAUGAUUUUAAAAAAUAUAAACAAUUGUGAUGGUAGUUAAGUUUAAGGUUUACAAUUACCGAUUUUGUAGAAUUAACAAAUAGACACUUCUACUCGUACAACUACUAUUGCUGAAACACCUAAAUUAUUGUAAAUACAUGUGAUAAGUCUUUCUGUUAAUGCACGUGUAACCUUUCUAUGUUCGUAUCAGGUCUAGUAGGUUGACAUCACAACAAACACACUGAGGUUCUGUUGGGUUCUACAGGGGAGUGGUUUUCUUCUCCUUCACAGGGUGGCAGGCUGAUGGGAUCCAGCUGUUACUCAUCACCACCAAUCUGCAAGGUUCUUAAAGAGGAGCGGCUUCCCGGAAGCAGAUGCCAGAUGGUUCUGCUUCUAACAGUGUGAACCCGAGCUGAACACUCUCUGAACCAGGACUCACCUGAAGUAUCUGAUCCCAGCUGCUCUGUUGGGCCUUGCACCUGGGUGCGUCACGCCCGCCACUCAGCUGCUGCUGCCUGUCCGCCCUCAAUCACCUGCUGGAACUUCCCCAUCUGGAAAACCACCACAUCACACCAACUGUUGGAACCCCAUGUACUCUCCUCUGCUUACCUCUGCCCACAGAUCUUCCUCUGCUGGCCCGGUUCCUCCCUGCUGUCGCAGAUCGACGCCCCUCCACACGCUCUCCAGCACAUUCUAUUGCUAAAUAAAUCUGUUGAAACUGUUUGGGUGUCCGUAGUUGUUGCUUGCCUUAGAGUCCUAGAAACCUCGCAUUAUGACAGUUUUUGAUUGUUUUG